UGCAAGUGAAGGAAGCUUUCCCCUGAGGUU
rnacentral:piRNA from 1 species